UAGAAGAUAGUAUAUGUGGAAGUACUGAAAGUUUUGGGCUUUCAGGUCUAAGUUCGAUUCUUGGUCUUCUA
rnacentral:tRNA from 1 species